CUUUAGUCUAACUCUGGCCCAACAGGGCAUAAUGGCGACAAUUGCAUCACCUUCCGAUGUUCAGACCUUUUUACGUACUCUAGCUGAAUACUCCUGAAAAACGUAUAAUUCUUGUGAAUGAUAUGCACAGGAGCUUUGCUGAUGUGUGCUUUAUUCAAGAGACCCACUUUAGGGGAGAUUCGGCACCCAUAUUAUGCUCAAAAUAUAUUUCACAGGGAUUUUAUAGCAAUUACCAGGAGGAAAAUCAAUAGGAGUGGCAAUUCUCUUUUCGAAUAAGAUUGUCUUUAAC